GACUUGGUAGCCUAGUUGGUAAAGGUAGCACUUCUUUUAUAUCUUAGCUUGCAGCUAAGUUUGUUGGUUCAAAUCCUGCCCAAAUUG
rfam:Puccinia sorghi strain RO10H11247 Scaffold_14948, whole genome shotgun sequence.